GUCUCUGGGAGACUUCCAACUGGGAAUCUCCCGCUGAGGCCACACCUCUAGAUUAGGUUAGUGGCCCCUGAUCCACGCCGCUCCAGCAUUCUGCCAUGAGAAACCUCACUCUGCUGCAGCUUUAUCUUCUAAAUGACGUGCUGAGAACACCCACGAAACUGCAAUACCGGCUAAUCAGCCCCAGCUUCUUCAGAAAGGCUUCUGCUUGUGACUCCAUGAUCUGUAGCUUAUACACUUCACUCUCCUUCCAGUUUUCAAGUACGGAUACCUGCCAGUAGAUCAGAAGACAUAUGAGUAUUUUACAAAUGACAGCCUGAAACUAUUUUAAAGGUUAAAACUUAAACAUUCAAACCACUUUCCCAUUUCUCCUUAAAUGAAGCAUGACAGAAUCAUCAGAACUUGAUUGUAUCAUAGGUGAACAUGAAUUAGACUUUGAGAUUUGAAAACAGAACAAAAUGACAUCACAAAUGCAUACCUUCCAUGAUCCUUUUUGCAGAUAUGAAUAACUGUACAUGGCUUUCUGCUUAAGCUAUAUAUAAGCACAGAGCCAGGUUAACUGCAUGUGUACACGAGUGUGCAUUACCUAUGGUCCUGCAGCAGAAUAACCCUUAAUAAAGGCUGCAUCCUCUGCAAGUUUAGAAAAGCCUCAGAGAAGCUGUUCUCGGCAAGGGCAUCAAAAGCUUCGGGGUAUGCUUUUAAGAUUUUAGACUCUCUGUGGCUUCCCCACAAACCAACUGGCCAUUUUUGUGAGAAUCACUGCAGGAAAUGUAAAAUGGCCUCAUGGUCCAAAUGAUCCAUUAAAUAGCCUUUUAAUCCAGGUGUCAGUAAACUUGACAGGGCCCACCAGGCAAACCUGCUUACCAAACGGUGGUGUGAAUUAAACAAGCUCAGGAAUACGGAUGCUGGUGUAGGACCCAAAAAGUAUUCAUACUUUGGCUCUUUUUCCUUUCCUGUCCUUAGAAGCAGGUGCAUAGUCAAUUCUUAAUUGAAAAGCCUAAUGUUUGCAGACUGUAUAAACUAAGUCUUUUCUUACUUUACCAGAAUAAUCACAGACACAUAUGCCAAUAAAUAUCAUUUGUUUCUCAGCUACAGAAACAUAGAGAAUCAUGUUUCUGGAACUAAAUAAAAUACAGCCAGAUGUCAUAAUUUUG